UAUUGAAAAUUUCAUCCAUUUGUACUAUUAAAAGCUGACAUAGUUGACAAAAUAACUAGAUAGUGACACGUGGCACGCUACGUGGCACGCUACGUGUACUUCAUGCUAACGUACAAUACCAGUUUUUAAUAGUAAAAAUGGAUAGAAUUUUUAAGA
rfam:Gossypium hirsutum cultivar TM-1 chromosome 7, whole genome shotgun sequence